GAUGAACGCUGGCGGCGUGCCUAAUACAUGCAAGUCGAGCGGACGGACGAGGAGCUUGCUGCUCUGACGUUAGCGGAGGGGGGGUGAGUAACACGUGGAUAACCUACCUGUAAGACUGGUAUAACUUCGAGACACCGGAGCUAAUCCCAGAUAAUCUCUUGCACCGCGUGGUUCGAUAGUGAAAGACGGUGUUGCUGUCGGUUGUAGAUGGAUUCGCGCUUUAUUAGCUGGUUGGUGCGGUAGUGGCUUACCAAGGCAAUGCUGGGUAGCCGGCCUGAGAGGGUGACCGGCCACAUUGGGACUGAGAGACGGCCCAGACGCCUACGGGAGGCAGCAGUGGGGAAUAUUGCACAAUGGGCGGAAGCCUGAUGCAGCAGCGCCGCGUGCGGGAUGACGGCCUUCGGGUUGUAAACCGCUUUCGCCUGUGACGAAGCGUGAGUGACGGUAAUGGGUAAAGAAGCACCGGCUAACUACGUG
rnacentral:rRNA from 1 species